CGUGUGUGUGUGUGUGUGUGUGUGUGUGUGUGUGUGUGUGUGUGCGUGUGUGUGUGUGUGUGUAUGUGUCGGGUGUGUGACUAUGUGUGGGGCUGGUUGGUGUGGGCUGGUUGGUGUGAGACCGCUGGGAGGGGGAGGGGGACAAGCAUCUUGGAUGGCUGGAUGGGUUCUACAGCAAGGCAGGGCUGCUGGGCACGUGCCUGUCUCCAGGACCCGGGGCCUGCGAAGGCUUGAGCGGCUGUGCGCCGGCCUCCUGUGCGGCCCCCAUCUCGACGUGACAGGGACGUGGAGUCUGGCGGCCACGACGGCGCGGCGGCCGGCGCGGCGGCGGCCAAGCGCUCCGCUGUCACCGUCUCCACCAUCCACGCCGCAAAGGGCCUGGAGUUCCCCGCGGUGUUCGUGGCCAGGUGGGUGGUGGUGAAUGCCCGGGCCCAACGACUACGAUCGGUCAUGAGUGGGGCUUCGCGAGUAAUGCGGCUGAGAGGGGCAUGUUUAUUUGUGUCUUGGCGGACACGCCACGGAAACAGCAGUUGAGUUUUGGUCGCAGAAGGGGCAGCAGCAGCAGCCGUCCUACGCAUUCCACCACCACCACCACCACUACCACCACCACUACCUCUAUGAUCAGUCUCCACCACCACCGCCCCCUGCCCGCGCACAGGUGGAGCCAGGGCUACCUGCCCACCCUGUACCGCCCCGACAAGAAGCGCGGCAAGAACAUGAGCGAAGCGGAUCGGGCGGCCUUCGAGGAGCAGGACGCGCAGGAGCACACGGAGGUGUGUGUGUGUGUGUGCCGUGAACACUGUAGCCCCAGGACCGACGGCAACUGCGGCUGCAAGACGCUGCCGCCUCACGUGUAUGUGCGUGUGUAUGCAGGAGGAGCGGCGGCUGGCGCACGUGGCCGUCACCCGUGCCAUGGAGCGCCUAUAUAUCACAUCAAUUCGGUGCGGCACCGGGCGGGCGGGCGGCUGGGAUUGCGGGCGACCCUGCUUCCGCCCCUGCUGGCUGGCCUUGCUGCUGCCCCUGCCGUACUUACCCGUGUCUGCCUGCUCUCCAGCACUGCGCCCUGACGCCACCAUCCGUGACUCUCCCUCCAUCCUCCAAUCGUCUUCCGAGCUCAACCACGUCUCUGCCUACCUGCCUGCCGUGUCUGCCUGCCUAAUGGUCCCCGUACCCACACCCACACCCACACCCGCGCCCACGCCCACACCUGCACAGGGUGGGCCAGAUGUUUGGCGAGCCCAUCCUGGUGCCCCCCUCCAGCAUCAGCCUGCCCGCUGACCCCGCGGUGGUGGAGCGGCGGGUGCUGCCGGUCAGCAAUAAGGAGCGCAAGUUGGCGGAGCGGGCGGAGGAGAUCGCGGAACGGCGAGUGAACGGCCUGGGUUAGCUGGCUGGCUGGCUGGCUGCGCCUGCGACCCGGACGCGCAGUAACACAAUAGCGUGUGUCGAGCGGGUGGGCAGGUGCUUUGAAUGUUCUUCAUACCGUAUUGUUUACCUCGAGGCACCGCAUGAGCCUCAGAGAUUGCGAACUGUGUAUUGGCGGGGCAGGUAGGACGUGACCGUGAGGCCGUAGCUGGCCGUGGUGCGUGCGAGUGUAGCAGGAACGCUGUAAAAGGACUUGAUGACGAGCUGGGGCUACCCUUAGAGUAGGGACUUACGCGCCGUCAGGCCUUCCUCCCACAGCGAGCAACAGGACAGCGGGUGCAGCGGCAGCUUGAAGCCGGUUGCGAUUCCCAGUAGUCAUUUUCUUUUACCGAUCAUGCGGUAAUACGGUAGGUAAUUGCGGCAGAUGCAUGGUGUGAACACGUGGGACGUGUGUAAGCGCACGUGACUGUUACACUGUUAUGCCAUUACGCCGGCGGUGCAUUUCGCCGUCACGGUGUGUGCGGGUCUAGGGGUGAUGCGUGUCAGGGCUAGGGUUUGUGUGUACGCGUGCGUGACUUGGCGAGCAUGACACUUGCCGUACGGUUGGUAGGCGCACUUAGCGGACGGUGACGCCUGGUAUCAGUGCCGCUGUCCGCUGAUACUCCACAUUGGCAACGUCGCUGUGACUCGGAGCGAGCAAACUGACCCCCUGUAAACUGCGAGGAGGCCGGGGUGCUCAGCGGCAGUCCAGACUCAAGACUAGCACUGGCCAGCUAGCGAUGCGGGGGCAUCGGGUAGCGGGCGCAACUAAUUCCCGGGCUGCGACGGUAGUCCACUCGGUCCAAUGCGGCCGGUGACGAGCUAGCCAGUAGGCACAAGCAGAUGGUCGUGACAACACCUUAACAGUUAACACAGCCCAUGGACACGGCCUCGAACAGAACGCCUGUCACUAUCAAGUCGGAGAACUGCUGGUGUGUGCGUGUGUGUCCGUGCAUUACGGGAACGGAAGAUGCGCCCAUCUUACCUGUACCACACACCUAGGAGUGCCAUGUCAGGCCCCCGCUUUGCCUCGACCUGUGAACUGCUGCUCGUGCUCUAUUUCAUCCCCUUCAUCCACAUUUGAGCUCCACGGCCCGGCCACCUCCCAUCCGCAUUCAAACAUCCGUCGCAACGCCUGCCCUGUGCCCGCGCAUAGUCCUCCCGCCUCUGCUGAGUUGCUUUAAGAGCCAUGUUCAAGUCGACAAAGUCAUGAUAGAAGUGACCCCGUAAGAGUUCUAUGUACGCAUGCGUGUUGCUGAGUCUUCGUCGAUCGGCAUUCAAUUCACCUUGAUGACCCUACGAACGGGAGGCCCCGCAGCGCACGUGAGGAGAAGGCUGCGAAAGCGCACGCCACCCAAUUGCCGUGGUGCCUCAUGCAACGCGCAGGCGCGCACAGCCGCAUGCCGCGUAUGAACAAUCAACAUCCACAACAACAACAUCUUUCCGACGCCAUGAAGUCGCAGGCGCGCGCCACCAACAUGGCGUGACGCGCGCCCUCAGUGAUCGGUAUGCACAUGGGUAAAUGCCGUACGUCGCAGUUGCUCACACACGUGGAAGCACUCAGUCCAGCACAACCAACGGACGCCACACAUACGGUAUGCACACAGCUGCGACAGAUGGACGGAAAUCCAAGCUCGGCAGACACGACAGGCCGCCCGCCGCAAUACACGCACGCGCCCCAUACCCAUACCCUGCCAACCCUGCUGACCGCGACGCGCCAGCACUGCUAGAACCCUGGCAACGGCACCGCGCUCCCACCCACAGCCGCGGGCAUCCUGUCUGGGCGCUGCUGCCUCUUCCCCUUCCCCGCACACGCGCGCACCACCUACCCGCCCUUAUCCCUCAGCCCUCGCGCCUCUCCCAAAUGUCCCUCAUCCCUGCGGCCUCAGCGGCUGCAGCACCGGCACGCUGGGCAUGCUGGGCGCACGCACGGCCUUGGACUCCCACCGGAUUGCCAGCGGGUGAGCCGCCGACCCGCUAUGUCCACCGCCGGCACCGCCGCCGGCUGGAGAGGCGCAGCCGCUGCCGCCGACGCCGCCAAAGCCGUCGGGCAGCUCCAUGCGCGCUAGCAGUGAGCCGUCGCCGGCAAUGGAAGCGCGCAGGCGGGUCAUGGCGGCGCCGCCAGGCGCCGUCGGGCCAGGUGACAAUGCAGUGGCGGCGGCGGCGGCGCCGCCGCCGCCGCUGCCGCCGCCGCCAAUGCGCGGCAGCGAUGGAGAGGGCAGUUGGAUGCCGGCGGCGGCGGUUAUGGAGCCGGCGGCGUUGGUGAUGGCCUGCAUGCGGCUGCCAGCGGCGCCGCGAAUGGGGGACGUCAAGGCGGCGGCGGCGGCGCCGCCGCCGCCGCAGCCGCCCGUCGCCAGGUAGCCGGAUAUCGGCAGCGGCGUGCCCCCGGCGCUACCUGGCGCGCUGGCCACGCCGUUGAGGCUGCUCCGCCGCGUCAGCAGCCGCGCCGGCGUGCCCAACAGCGCGGCGGUGGCGGCGGCGUCGUUCACGGCGCCGCCCGAGCCCACGAAUGGCCCGGCGCCGGUGAUGGAAGAGCGCAUGGCGCGUGGCUUGAAGGGCCCGCCGGGCCCAGCCAUGCCCGCCGCGCUAGCCAGCCCGGCGGGGAAGGCAGGGAGCAUCGAGCCACUGCCAGGCGCGGCCGCCAGCGUGCCGCCGGCGCCGGCGCCGGCGCCGAUGGCGGCGGCGACGGAGACGGCGGCGGCGGCGGCGCCGGCGGCGGCGGCGCUGCUAGGCGAGUUGGCGCUGUCGCUGGGCAGAUGGCUGCUGCACUGCCGGACCAGCGGCAGGAUGCGGUGCGGCUCUCGCUGCCGGUCCAUUACCAUGCUAAACGAGCCGCCGCUAGACGCAACACCGCCGCCAGCGCCGCCGCCGCCGCUGCCGCCAACGGCGGGCAGCAGGGUGCCGCUGCCACUGACCGUGCCGCCGGCGCCGGCGCCGCCGCCGCCCACGAUGGCGGCGGCGGCGGCGGCGUAGCCGCCGUUGAUGAGGCCCGGCACGCCUGAGAAGGAUCCACCCGAGGACCGGACCGCAGGCGCCAUGGAUCCAACGUUGGAUCCGGUGCGGAGGCCCUUCACGGCCUGUGUGUGUGUGUGGAGCGCCGACAGGUGUGCGUGUACCGUAGUUAGGGGGCUGGUUGCCGUACUGAUGCAGUGGAUGCAUCCGGAUGUAAGUACGGCACGGUCUGUGCAUCAGUGUCAUCAGUGCACGCAUGGUUCAUCAGUGUCAGGAAAGCACACAUGCUCAACGUGCAUGUGUGAUUGUAGCCGCCCCACGGCCGGGCCCUGCAAACGCGCAUCCACAUCCGCUCAAAAGGCACCUGGGAGGUGGCUGACCCCAAGCCCUAGUCCGUGUCCCUGACAUCCACCCACCCACCCACCCACUCGCUUACCCUGAAGCCCAUGGACUCGAGUACGUCCAGGGGCCGCACGGCGGCGGGCGGCCGCGGAUGCUGCGGCGACAGCAGCGCCGGCAGCGGUGACGGACCGGUGGCCUGCAGGGCGGCAAAAGGCGGCAGCAGCGGCAGCAGCGGCGGCAGCGGCGCAUGAGGAGGUACUCGCUCGAACGGCCUCCCCACGGGCGGCACGGCACCGUACUAGACCUACCACUCCGUCGCAAGCACGGAUAGACACGGGCAUUGACAUACACAUGCAUGGGCAGCACACACACAUACACACACGCACACACACAUACACACACAUAUAUACACACACACACACACACGCGUACCGGCGGCGAGGGCGUUGCCACGGACAGGUUUGCGGAGGAGGCUGCGGAGGGCAGCAGCAGGCCCGCUCGCAGCUGCCCGCGCCGCGCCAGCAGCGCCUCCCGCCGCGCCUCUGCGAACGGCGGCAGCGCAGAACGCAAGUACCCAUAACGCGCCAGCAGCUGCCUGAGGGGUGAAGGGGAGUGCGGCGGAGUGCGGCGGAGUGGGGCGUAGCAAAGCGAUGGCGGGCUGCUGAGUGAGGCGUGUGCAGGGGGCGCGUGCGGCAUGCGUGCGUGGCAACGUCAGGAAUCGUGGCGUGUGGGGCUGGCCAGGUGCGGUGCCAGGGCCAAGAGCAUGUCAUCACCAUUCGAGGCGCUGCCGCGUUUACCCACGGCAGGCGCACGAAAACAAACCGCUCUCGCAGCCGCACCACCACCCAACUAGGUCUGGAUUGCCAGCCGCCAAUCUCCCCUGUAGUCUUCCCAGUCUCCCCAUUCUCCACAGUCGUGCCCAGCCUCCCCGCCCGGGACUUAUGACGUUGGGCUCGGGCACAUAGCCUCCCCGCCCUCACCUGCUGAGCACCAGCAGGCGGGUCGGCCGCGCCGCCACCACAGUGGCCAGGAAGGCGGAGGGCGGGAAGGGCGUGUCGUCAUCCGCGGGGAACACCUCGUGCCCGGCAGGGCCCACGCCGCCGGCGGGGGCUGCGGCGGUGCCGCGACGCGCCUGCGACAGCGAGCAACAGCAACAGCAGCAGCGCGCAGCGAGCCCCGGUGUUUCAAGAUUCAUGACACGGCACCUGACAAGCGGAGCGGGUUGAGUGAAGGCGCGUGGGAGCCGCGAGUGCUGGUGCGAGGAGCCGGCAGAGCGCGGCCGUACCUCCCCGCUUUGGCUUGCCGCGUGCCUCCAGCAAUUGCUGCGCCCAGUCAAAACCCUUGGCGCGCUGCUCCCACACACAAACAGCCCACCCACACAUGUAGCUCGCCCCCCCCCCCCGCCCACACCCAGCCACCCACCUUGGCCAGGUCUGCCGGGUAGCCCAGCACGCUCUCCCCGAACGAGCCGCCCGACCCCAACAGCGACAACGUGGACAGCGCCGCCGCCGCGCGCCGGGCCUUGAUGGACGUGAGCUGCGCACCGCCACCAACACUGCUGGAGCCGCCGCCGCCGCCGCUGCCGCCGCCGCCUGCUGUGCCGCCGCCGCCGACAGCUCCAUUGCGGGGCAACCCCUCCGGGGGCAGCGGCGCCAGCGGUGUCAAGGCGGAGGAAGCGGAGCGCUCCGGUGCGCUGCCGGUGGUGGAGGCGGAGGCGGCUGCGCCGCCGGCCGAGCCGCCAAAGGCGUCAGAGUCGUCGAGCAGGCGCACUUCGCCCUCCUGCGGUCCGGCACACACACACACCGACAAAGUUGUGUCGUGGUGUUGCUGAGGUUGCUAUUGGUGAUGGUGUGGGUGCAAGGAGGCAAGGAGGCAAGGUGCAAGGAGGCAAUUUGAGAGGCCACACUUGACGACACCCAGCAUGAAGGGCCCCCGGGCGGCGGUAGCGCUCUCGCUUCCUUCCUUCCUUGUUCUGUCCUGUACAGAAGCCGUUUCGCCCGCCCCCGCGCCCGCCCCCGCCCCCGUUGCCACCCCCGCCCCCGCCGCCCCCACGCCGACUCACCAGCACCACGUACAGCGCGUCCACCGCCUGGCCCUGCCGCACCACCAGCGCGUUGGAGUCCACCGAAAUAACCUGAGAGCCAGCGAGCAAGCGAGCCAGUGGGCAGUGUGUUAGGAAAGCUCACCGGAGGAGGACACCGGGUGGGCGCGAUGCAGAUACAGAAGGUUGCCAGUCGAGCUGCCGCGCAGUCGAUGGCGACCAAGCCUUCCAAGCCGCGCUGGUUGUGCUAGCCCGAAGCCAUCUUGCUCUCAUCCCGCCCCCAAAGCCGCCGCGAAGCCCCUCCGCCCCGCCCUGCCCUGCCCUGCCCUGCCCUGCCCUGCCCUGCCCUGCCCUGCCCUGCCCUGCCCUGCCCUGCCCUGCCCUGCCCUGCCCGCCGCCGCUCACCGCCGCCCCCAGCGCCACCGCCGCCUGGUGCUCCUCGCUCAGCCCCCUCAGCGGCUCCAGCGCCCCCAACACCGCCAGCCGCUCAGCCACCAGGUCGCUGCGGACAGCCUCCGCGCCGCGACGAAGCGCCCGGGCCGUCACCAGCAACACGUCCACGCCGUCCAUGCCUGUGGGAAUACGGUAAGCAAACCGACAUACGGUGAUAUCAACAAACCUGUCGAGCACCGCAUCACUACGAGUACCACAACACGCACAGACCAGGGCUAUGAUACUUAAAGCACAACAGCUACGUCCAGCAUGCCCAAACCCAACACCCGCUCCAACCAGCAUGAAUGCACAAGCAGUCCGACGCACCCGCCACCGCCGAGUGCGCGCGCUUGGGCCGCUGCGCCGGCUUGAGCGCCCGGUCCAAUGCCGCCAGCGGCAGCUCGCCCGCCAACGCGCCCGGCUCCACGCGGCCCGACACGGGGCCGUACAGCUGCUCCAGGUGCUCCUCCUCCGCAGCCUCCGCAUCCUCUGAGCCGUCAGGCGCCGCCGCCGCCGCCGCCGCGGCGGCGGCGGCGGCGGCGGCGCCCUUGCCGCGGCCCGGCGACGGGCGCGGAGAGGCGUCAUCAGCGUCAAAGAACUCGUCGUCGACGUCAGCACCGUCGGCGCCGCCGGCGUCGCCGUCGACGUCGGCGGCUGCGCCGGAUCCCUCGUCGAGCACGAGCUGUGCGCCGUCAGCGGCGCCGGUUCGGGGGCUGGCGCCUGUCCCCGCGGCUUGGGUGGCGGCGGCGGCGGCGGCAGCGGCGGCGGCGGCUCGGUCGGGCGAGGGGCUGCGGUCCGCCAGGCCCAUCACUCGCUCCACGGCGUCGAUGUACCUGCGGGGGAGACAGUGGGAGCAGGGAGCGACGCGAGGGUGGUGGUGGUGGUGGUGGUGGUGGUGGUGGUGGUGGCGGUGGCAAUACAAGACCGGUGAGGCAGCGUCGGCAGCAGUGCCACGACUGCUGAUACAAUUGUGCGCAGGUCGGGGUGCCUUUACUACAACGCAGCCCUGAAACCAGGGCUUGAACAUGGUGGUGAGCGCACAGACAACAGCAAGCGCCUGCCUCUGACUCAGCCCACCCGCCCGUCCCCCCCCCCCCGGGCGGCGACAUUUAUCGCCGGCGCCGCUCGUCCUGCUGCUCCGCGACGCCUCGGCCCACCUCCCAUAAGUAUUGUCGCUUGCAACUAACGCCCCUGCCUGUGCUCCGCUCAUUUUUGUUGGUUUUGGUUUAGUUUGGGGCUGGUAUAUACAACCCACCAACCCCACCUCUGCCCCCACACUUCACACACACGCGCCUGAUGGGCUUGGUCCGGAUGCGGAAGUGGCGGUCCAGGUAGGUCAGCCGCACCCACGGCUCCUCCUCCUCCCGGUCCUCCUGCACGUGCACCUCAUCCAGAUCCUCGUCGUGCGCAAGCGCCUUGCCGGCGUCGGCGGCGCCACAGGCGGACGCUGUGGCGCCGCCGAAGCGCACGUGCUCGCCGUCCUCGCGCGCCUCAGCCUCAUCGCUGUAAGCAAAGGGGAUGGGGCGGGGCGGGGCGGGGCGGGGCGGGGCGGGGCGGGGCGGGGCGGGGCGGGGCGGGGCGGGGCGGGGUGGGUUGGGGGGCGGAGCUCAGGAUUGGAGUGAAGGGGUGAGGAGGCAAAGCGGGUGGCCGGUUGACCGGUAGGUGAGGGACUGGUAAGAGAUGUAGCUGGGUGCGGCAAGGGAGAAGGCAGGCAGUGCAUUGCAUUGCAGUUUAGUGCAGUGCAACAGCACAAGCAGACGUGCAGCAUGUACAGCACGUUCACAUCCACGGCAUUGCGCCGCGCCACAAAGCGAUGCGAGGUCCAUGCCGAAGUCGACAGGCCGGCGCAUGUACAUGCACGCAACGCAACGCAACCUAACGCAUGCACAUGCACACGCUUCAAGCACGUGCGCCGCCCAUGUGCCCAGGUGCCAAGGUGCGCCGGUACGCAGGUGUCCGGGGGCUCCACUCACAGGUUGUUGUGUAAGUAUAAGUACAAGUAUAAGUAUGUCAGUAUAAGUAUCAGUAUCAGUAUCAGUAUCAGCGCGGGGCUCCACUCACAGGUUGUUGUACGAGCCGGCGCCGUGUCGGAUGCCGCGUUCGUAGGCGCUGGCGGCGGCGGCGCCGCCCAGCAGGCUGCCCAUGUCUGCAUGCGCGCGACCGUGUUCGUGUGUGAGAAAGACACAGGUCCGCUCCGGCAGGCGUGCUAUGAAACAACUCGCCAGGCCAACACAAACACUCUCCAAACCCGCCCGCCCGCCCCCCCCCCCACACACACAUACACACACACGCACCCUUGACGCCGCCAGCUUCCUCCAUCUUCCGCCGCUCGUACUCCUGCAGCAUGGCGUCCUGAUGCUCGUCCAGCCCGCCGCCGCCGCCGCCGCCGCCGCCACCCUGGCCCGCCGCCGCCUCCCCCGAGGCCGUGUGUGUGGCCACGUACGCCGCCCGCUUCCAGGCACUCACAGCCUUGGCGGCGGGCGCCGCGCCGCCGCCGGCGCCGCCGGACUGGGACAGCGGCGGCGGCGCGACGCUGGGCGCGGGGCCGCCGGUGUCGCCGCGUUUCUGCAUGGGGUCAGCGCAGCGGUACGUAGGUGAGGGAGUGUAGGCGGAGUUCAAAUGGGCGGACGUGCGUCAGCUGCUGUGCGCUCAAGAGGUGCGUGCGUGUGUGUAUGUGUAUGUGUGCGUGUGUGUUAAAGAGCACAAGGAAAACAUUACGAGUGUGCGUGUGUGUGUGAGAGAGAGUACGUGUGUGCGUGUGUGUGUAUGAGAGAGAGUACGUGUGUGUGAGUGCGUGUGUGUGUAUGUAGAACCGGGUGCGCCGCUGCACAAGGCGGCGCCACCACACAUGAGCUUCACCCAGGUAUGCAUGCGGUCUGGCCAGGCCAGGCAUGAUCCUAACGUGCCGUACAUGCACGCGUGCACCCGGCCCCUGGUCGCCAGGCAAGUCGUGGGUUUUGCUUGUCGCGUCCGCGUGCCUGUCGUGUGCUGUUAUGCGCGCCACCGAGCCCGGGCGGCGACAUUUAUCGCCGGCGCCGCUCGCCCUGCUGCUCCACGACGCCUCGGCCCCCAUCCCAUAGGUAUUAUCGCUUGCAACUAACGCCUCUGCCUGUGCUCCACUCGUUUUCGUUGGUUUUGGUUUAGUUUGGGGCUGGUAUUUACAACUCUCCCCCCCCACCGCCAUCCCGCCAACGCCGCCGCUGCCACGCCGCGCCCGCCAUACACACGGCACGUGGGACACACGCGCACGAACACCCAGAGCCCUGCAGCCGGUUCUUACGAGAGGCUCGCCCCGCAGCUCACCCGGUUCAGGAACUCCAGCAUCCACUUCUUGAACUCGUCCUCCACGGCCUUGGCGCGCACCGGCCUCAUGCUGGCCUGCUGACGAGGCGGCGAGCGCAGCCCCUCGCGCUGCAGGGCCAGAGACUGCUUGAUGGCCUCACGGGCUGUGUGUGUGGGGGAGGGGGCGGCGGCGGAGGGGUUCCAGGCAAUGAUUACGGUUUAGUUGGGAGAAGGCGAGCGGUGGGGGCGGGCGAAGGCGGAUUGGACACCCAGGGGCACAGGGCUGCGGGUGGCAGGGAGCCGGCAGAUGCCAACUUGAACACCACGGUCACGCACAACCCCCCACACUCACGCACCCCUACGCCUGUUGUCUGCUUCUUAACUUGGCUACACUCCUCUGCACCACUCUUUGCACCCGCCCCAACCACCGCCACCACACUGCGACUCACACUUGCGCUCGUCCUCAAUCUUCUGCUUCACGGUCCGUGUGUCCGCCGCCGCCGCCGCCGCCGCGGCCCCUCCCGGCCUCAGCCGGCCUGCGCUCUUGGCUCGGCUGGCCGCCGCCGCGCUCUUGAGUGCCGAGCGCAGUGCGGCGCGGUUGGCGGCGCCGUCACGACGUGGCCGGAUGCGCUCCUGGGAGCAGCGCGGAGAAGGGCGGAGAAGGGCGGAGAGGGGCGGCAGCAGCCGACCCACAUCAGUCAGCGUCUCCCUGGCAUCGUGCCCUGACAUGCCCAUUGGGUAAAAGGUCUUUGGCUGUUGGGGGCUGCCCGCUUCACCUGCCCACACGCAGGAACCCCUGGGCGUCGGUUUGAAGGCAAGGCUUCGGGAACGCAUAUCCGUCCACCUUGCCAUCCCCCGCCCGGCCUACCUCCCCACUUUCCUCCCACCCCUACCCUGACCCCACCUGCACCGCCCCUGCCCCCUGCCCCUACCUGCACCGCCCCCGCCAGCACCACGAACUGGCUCUCCGCGCGCGUGUGCUCCUCGUACAGGAUGGUGCCGGCAGGCAGACGCCGCAGCGCAGCCGCCUCGGACAGCGCCUUGAUCACCGGGGGAGCGGCCGAGCUGAGACCCUGCGUUUGGAGGCCGUGCAGGAUCGCCGAUAACCCAUGUACGCGUGAGGCAAAUAGCCUGCUCCUGCUUGUGUGCCAACCCCUCCACAUCCCCCUGCCCGCCCUCACCCGCCCUAACCUGCCCUCCAGCUGCUCCUCCGCCUCGCCCUCCUGACCACCCCUGACCUGCCCUUCCUUGCCCCGCCCAACCGUCCCCCUCCUCCACCUGCCCUCCUCCACCUGCCCUCCUCCAUCUUCCCCUCUUCAUGUGCCUGCCUGCCUGUCAAGACCGCAUCUUGCCUGUCACCUCCCCUACUUCCCCUUCCCCGCCCUCCUCCAUCUUCCCCUCACCGGCAGCUGCCGCAGCACCGCCGCCAGGUCCUCCGCCUGCUCGGGCGUGCGGCGGGCCGGCUCCGUGGCGGCCAGCGAGCGGGCGAUGCAGCACAGCAGCGCCAGCCGGGCCUCCGCACACUCGGGCUGCGCAUGGGUGUGCGGGAUCCAUGGGAGUGGAUGGGUGGAUGGGUGAAUGGGGGCGGGUGGGUGGCUGGGUGCGUGGCGUGGCGUGGAGUGGGAGUGGGCUGGAGCUCCCGGGCUGAUCGUGACAGAGACGUCCUAGCGGGGUGGCGGGGCUGUUGCAGGGCGGUGGCAGGGCGGGGCCUGUGCCGCAGCCUCCAGACAUGACGGCCCGCAGCACCUACCGACACCCAGCCCCUAGCCCCUAGCCCCCAUCACCCAACACUCAGCCCCCAGCCCCCAGCCCCCAGCCCCCAGCACCCAACACCCAGCACCCAACACCGGCCCGAACUCAACCCCAUCGGCCCUGCAUUCCGCAACCACCCCACCUUGGCCCACCCUUGCCACCCAACCACCAACCAACCCAGCUAACCAACCAAACCACCGGCGGCGCACCUGCGACGGCGCACGUGCGCACAGGUUGCUGAACGACGUGCGCGUUAUGACCGCGAACGCCGCGCCGCCGCCGCCAGCGCCGCCGCCGCCAGCGCCGCCGCCGCCAGCGCCGCCGCCGCCAGCGCCGCCAGCCGCCGACGCCGAUUCCGUGCUGACCCUGACGCUGACGUCAGACGGGCGGCCGGACAGCACAAGCGACGCCGCCGCCAGCGCCUGCGAGGCCGCACAUGGACAGGGCGAGGGAGUUGCAGAGAUUGGUACAGAGAAGUGCAGCGAAGUAGACAGGUUACAUGCAUGAUUAUUUAACAAGUGACGCGGGGGAAACAGCACGGUCGUGUCAGGCGCCAACGGUAUUUUGUCGUUGUGCCCCCAUGACCUAGACCGGCCGGGCACCGCCGGCCCGAGCCACAGGCCGCCGCAGCCACCCGGAACCCAAUGAACCCGGACUCACAUCUGCAUUCACAGCGUUCCUGCUUGCUACGAUGGCCAACGAUUCCAACCGUCCAUUCCCAAGCCCCAAUUACCCACCACCGAUGCCGGUAAGCCCACGCCGCGCCUGCUGCAGCCCCGGCAGCCCUAGCUACUGCCGCUUCCCCCGCCCUUGCCCCCUUCCCACCCGCCCUCGCCUCCCCCCGCCCCCUUUCUCCAUGCCUCCCCGCCCGACCCACCCGGCCCACCCACCAACUACUCCCCAUCCAAUCCACGCCCUCCGCCGCCCCACCCGCCCCACCUGCCCCCUACUCCCCACCCGGCCCCACCCGGCCCCAUGCCCCCUGCUCCGUGCCUCCCCACCCGGCCCCACCUGCCCCGGCUGCACCUCCUCGCCGAGCGGCUGGUAGCCCUCCCGCCGCGACUGCCGCACCAGCGAGCAACGGCCCGACAGCAGCAGGUACCUGACAGGUAGAGAUGCAGGAGGGGGGGGGGGGUUGAGGGCGGGGCAGGGGGGGCAGGGGGGUUUACGUUGAACCAAUCCCGUAAGGAAACAGUCGCGCGGCAAGGAGAACUGCAGCUGCAGGGGGGGCGGGCAGGGACGAGGGCGGGGCACCAGAGGGGCAGGGGACGGGAGGAACAGUCGCGCGUGUGCCCGUGUGCUCUUCCAUCAGCCACGCAUAUCAUCCACGUCAGCAAGUCAAGCAGCCCUGACUGCCGCCGUACAGCCCCGACUGCCGCCGUACAGCCCCGGCUGCCGCCGUGCAACCCCGUACAGCCCCGUACAGACCCCGUACAGCCCCGACUGCUGCCGUACAACCCUAGCCGCUCUCGAGCCUCACAGGCGAUCUGUGAGCUCGCCAUGGUGCAGCAGCGUCUCGCCCGGGGCAGCACGUUGCAGCGCUGCAGGGGGGGGGGGGGAAAGGGGAGGGGAGGGAGCGACACGUGAGGAUGGAAAGUAGGGAACACUGCGUGAGGCGCAGGCAAGAGUGCAAGAGACCCCGGGGCGGCCCGACGCUUGUACGGGUGCUAGGUUGGCAUAGGCAUGUUUGCGGGCGCUGAGUCGAACUGGGUUGAGGAGGGGCAGGGGGGAUGCUCGGGCACAGCAACGGCGCAGUUUGACUAGGGUACGUUGUUACCGUGCGUGGCACUUACUGAGGUAGCCCGCUAGGACUUUCAGGUUGGGGAACUCCGCGCCCGCGAAGAAGGGCUGCGCGGACAGGCAAUCAGGCACAGCUCAAGCGUCACUGCAUGUGGUUGCUUUCGUGUGGUUCAAUAGGGCCGCUGGUGAGCCGGCCGUGCCCCAUACAGCGGCACGACCGUGGACCUUGGCCGGCAAGAAAGCCCCAAACACCCGCCCAAAACAGCGUCCCCCGCUCAGAAUGCUUACGUGCUCCUCGAGCAACGCGACCAGCUGCUCAACAUCCUCUGCGCUUCGCUGGGCCGGCCUGCACAAUACACGGUUUCAAUUGUUGAGCGUCUACGGCGGUUUAAGAGCCUUGACAGCUUUGGGGACACAGCCGCGCUUGCAUGGCACUCCCGGUUGAUGGGCAUAGGGUCGCGCGCCAAGCCUAGAACGGCUUCAACACCACCCGCACAUGUCAGCGGCUGAGGUCGACUAGUCGUUACUUACUUUACGCUGAGAACAUUGACAAAUGCGGAUACUGAUUCGUCUGUAUCCAUGCUCUAGAAAGCCUCAAGAAGCCCACCCGGUUACAAUUGGCCGUUUAGCCGCUCCGCAACUCAGCUCGGGUGCUUUCAUCCAAGUUCCGACAAUACCUAGGCAUCCUUUACAUGUGACGUUUGGUAUAGGCGGUUCUGCUUGCAGCGCAGGCGAACUUUACAGUGCGCUGUAAGCUUAUGAGUGGUGUAGAGAGUAUGAUGCAGUAUACUAUGUUGGCUCUGAGUAUUCAAUGUAGGGAAAAACCGACAGGCAGCGGGCAUGGGACGUGAUCCCCCUCCCGGCCUCGCCUUAGUGCCGCCCCCCCCCCCCCCCCGCCGCCCCAAGCCGCCCCGACCCUUCGGCCAUGCCACUCACCGCAGUGGUGACGCCGGCAACAAUGCACGAGCUUAGCAACAGUCAGAUUGACAAUGUGAACAACUGGAAGAAUUCAUGCCAGACCUGCACACUGUGGGCCUCGAUGCCCAAAGACUAGCCAUCUUGGCCCAGGUUUGGCGACAUGUUGCGCAUCCGUUGCCACGACACCCCAAGGCAACCGAAGCCCCGUGCCAUCUCUCUCCUCAAGACUUGUACUCGGCCAGGGUUGCACCGUGGGGUUGCAUGGCUUGAACCCCUUGGAAUGGACAGAUUGACAGAGUGGGCCGCACCAAAGCCUGGCGGCUGCUUCCCGCCUGCCUCACUGUGGCCUCGCUGGCUCGAUGGCGUGCUUGGCACAGAGUCUGCCGACGUGGCGGCCGCUGACGUCGGCGGUGCGGAGGCCGCCGACGUCGGCGGUGUGGCCGUGUGGGGCCAAGGCAGUGUGACAACGGGGGGCAGGGGGGCAGGGGGACACGGUGGUGGUGAUACAUGUGGGGGGGGGGGCGUGGCGGGACGCAGCACUGCACGGUCAGCACGGAGUUGCACAUCGACACGGAUGCAGAGGAUGAGGUUAUGGCCAACCCUAAGAGGAAAGGCGAGGGAGGAGGAGGAGGGGGGCGGUUGUGGGGCCUGCAGCCGGGCUGGGCGGGUGGGUUCGGGACUGCUUUAGAGGGCGGGCAGUGUGAGUGGGAGCUAGCCGUAUCCAGGCCCCGUAAAGGCUACAAGCACGAAUCUGCACGGCAGGAUUGUGGGGGCCUCUCCAACUGGCUCAGGCCCAGAGCUCAUGAGUCACUUCCCGUCUGACUGCUCUCCGCAUGCCUCCCUCGUGCCUACCCAAACAGCCGCUGCCUCUUUUCCUCCACCUCCUCAGGAGACGUUCCUGGAGAAGCACAACGUCAAGCUGGGUUUCAUGAGCGUGUUCGUCAAGGCGGCGGCACACGCGCUGCAGGUGCGGCUGGGGCUCGAGGGGUUAGCAGGGCGGGUGGCGGUGGCGAUGGGGGUCCGGCCGCAGGCGCCGUGUGCAGGCGCUUUGCACAGUGCAUGGCGGGACUGUGUUGCCUUGUGUCGCCCGUGCGGCCGAGGCCACGGCUUUAGACAAGACGGACAGUCCGCAGCAGGGGAGGGGGGUGUGCAACUCGGCCUGGAUCCAGGGUCGCGCUGCAUGGGACCCGGCCAAAAGGUGUUCGGACCCCUCCCAAGGAGCUCCCGGCCAUUCAUUUGUGUUUGUAAGACAACUGUAUAGUCAUUAGAACUGAUAGCGGGCCAGAAACCAGCCCAUAUAGCGGGCCGGCCAUUGACAAAUUGCGCGCACUGGAAACACCACGAGCGAAAUUCCGGCUGCUUGCAAUCACCCCAAAGGCUCUUCAGCUAACUAUGAAACUGAUGAGACCUCCAGAAAGCGACGGGCGCGGCCCCUCAGGGGCGAUGCCCGAUGCCCUGCAGACCCUUCGCGGGAAAGGCCGUUUUGGAGCCCUUUCCGAGGCCCGCCGAAGCCAGCGGCCCCUGCCGUCCGCUCUAGACAUACGUACAGAUGCCAUAUUCAGGGGUUUGGUCCGUGUCUAUUGGUGUUAACAGGGGUGCGCAGCCCUGGAGGAGCGCCUGGGAGCGCUGGGAGGAGAGGGAACCUGGACCGGGAUCCCCCAGCACCUCACCGGACGUAAAACGCAUACAUGCUACAUAUAUUGCGUGUCAUGCCUCCCCUGUGCCCCUUUAGAUGACAAUGUUAGGUAUGGCCUUCCCAGGUCCCAAGCCAGGUCCCUGCGCCCCGCUGCUCCAAACGAACGUGCAAGUUGCAAAUGUCUUACGCUGCCCUGCGUGCUUCCUUUAACUGACUGUUCCAACUGAGGGAGGUAGUGAGAACUACCGGGAUGGGCGUUGAAGGCCCGUGCGUGCCACUGUGCCGCGCAACACGGCCAA
rnacentral:lncRNA from 1 species